GCUGGAAUGGCCUGGUGUGACCUACGGCUGUUAGUUCACCGUCACAAUGGCAGAGGGCUGGGGAGCAUGUCCUAUUGACGCCCUGGAUAUAAUCACAACACACACACACAAACUGCCUCAGACGGGACACCGCCUCAUCACAGCCCACAGAUGAUUGCAUUAGGAAGUGAUUUCGGAUGUGCCUUGUGUCCCUAACACCAGGGGACAGAAGCGCAAGCUUGCUGAGGCCAUGGAGGAGGAAGAGGGGGAGUCGGCGGACGAGUCCACCAAGGAUUCUAAUGAGGAAGAGGAAGGAAGCAGCUCAGAGGCUGAUGAGAUGGCCGCUGCCCUGGAUGCGGAGCUCAACGACUUCAUUUGACAAGGAUGAAUUUGAUUGGACAAAAGAACUGGGGCGUUUGAUUAGACGUUUGUGAACGAUGCCUCACAGAAACACUCUAAAUUACCCCAGCAGAUUUACGUCCAGGUUGUGCCUGAAUCUUUGUCUCUACGCUGUGUGUGUGUGUGGAUGUGUUUUAACGAGGUUGAAUGUGUUGUACAGAAUGAAAAGGUAGGUUAGUACAGUAGGAAAACGUCGGUGUGUAAAUAUAUACGCUCAAAAAAAUAAAGGGAACACUAAAAUAACACAUCCUAGAUCUGAAUGAAUGAAAUAUUCUUAUUAAAUACUUUUUCUUUACAUAGUUGAAUGUGCUGACAACAAAAUCACACAAAAAUGAUCCAUGGAAAUCAAAUUUAUCAACCCAUGGAGGUCUGGAUUUGGAGUCACACAAAAUUAAAGUGGAAAACCACACUACAGGCUGAUCCAACUUUGAUGUAAUGUCCUUAAAACAAGUCAAAAUGAGGCUCAGUAGUGUGUGUGGCCUCCACGUGCCUGUAUGACCUCCCUACAACGCCUGGGCGUGCUCCUGAUGAGGUGGCGGAUGGUCUCCUGAGGGAUCUCCUCCCAGACCUGGACUAAAGCAUCCGCCAACUCCUGGACAGUCUGUGGUGCAACGUGGCGUUGGUGGAUGGAGCGAAACAUGAUGUCCCAGAUGUGCUCAAUUGGAUUCAGGUCUGGGGAACGGGCGGGCCAGUCCAUAGCAUCAAUGCCUUCCUCGUGCAGGAACUGCUGACACACUCCAGCCACAUGAGGUCUAGCAUUGUCUUGCAUUAGGAGGAACCCAGGGCCAACCGCACCAGCAUAUGGUCUCACAAGGGGUCUGA
rnacentral:lncRNA from 1 species